rnacentral:rRNA from 1 species
GGUUGCGAUCAUACCAGCACUAAUGCACCGGACCCCAUCAGAACUCCGCAGUUAAGCGUGCUUGGGCGAGAGUAGUACUAGGAUGGGUGACCCCCUGGGAAGUCCUCGUGUUGCAACCCC